AAAAAUGACUUGUCAUGAGUGGCACACAUAGAGCAACUUGCUUGUUCUGUGUGAGGGAUUGAUAUCCAAAGAUAUCAGAAGCAUAAUUUUUUUAGUCUUGGGCAAAUGGUGAUCACUGGUUUUGGUGCAAAA
ensembl:snRNA U11 spliceosomal RNA